rnacentral:rRNA from 1 species
UAAUAAUUUGCCUUAUAAUUUGAGGCUAGAAUGACUGUUUUGACGAAGGUUAAUCUGUCUCUAUCUUAUUUUUUAGAAUUUAAUUUUAUAGUGAAAAAGCUUUAAUUUUUUAAAGGGACGAGAAGACCCUAUUGAGCUUAUAAUUUUAUUAUUAUUGUAAGUAUUUAUUUUUACAGUGAUAUAUAAAUUUUAAUUGGGGUGAUUAAGGAAUAGGUUUUGUAACUUCCUUAGGGUUAAUAUUAUUUGAUUAAGUAACCAAUAAAUUAUUGCUUUUAUUAUAGUUACCAUAGGGAUAACAGCGUAAUCUAUUUAGAGAGUUCUUAUUGAAAAAUGGGAUUGCGACCUCGAUGUUGGAUUAAGGUAACCACAAGGUGAAGAAGCUU